GAAUCGGCCGAUCAGGCCCCGGACGAGACGCGCCGUACCCGGUCAUGACAAGACGACGCCCU
rnacentral:ncRNA from 1 species